GAGCAGGAAUCACCUGCCACCUUCUCCUGUCACACAAAUGCUCCCAUUAGCAGACCCUAUGGUGGGCACCCAAGUGCAUCAGAUAGCAGUUCCUUUGCAGGCUUGUCUGUCUCCUUACCUGGCCUCUCUCAGUAACAGAGAGACCUUAACCUGCUGGUGCUACAUCCACUGGUCCAUCCGUAGGGGCCAACUGAAUUCUCCAAUGGAGGAAGGAAGGGCAGCGUGUCUGAAGGGCUAAGCAGGACCAUGUACGGAACAGAUGAGAAAGGAGAACAAGUUGUGCUUCCCCCCUCCCCUCCUUCCUGCUAAAUGCCAUGGAUAUAUCCGAAUAAGCCGCUCAGGGCUCUCCCCGCGUGGACGUCGGAGGCCACCAUCUGCCCGCAGUCGCCGGAGCCCGAGGGCUUAGCUGGAGCCCGACUUGGGCGAGGAAGGAUGCGUGGCCGAGCCGGGGAGCCC
rnacentral:lncRNA from 1 species